rnacentral:rRNA from 1 species
UACAGAGGUCCCAAGCGUUGUUCGGAUUCACUGGGCGUAAAGGGUGCGUAGGCGGUUGGGUAAGUCUGAUGUGAAAUCUCACAGCUUAACUGUGAAACUGCAUUGGAUACUAUUCGGCUUGAGAGUUGGAGGGGGGACUGGAAUUCUUGGUGUAGCAGUGAAAUUCGUAGAUAUUCGCAAGAACACCAGUGGCGAAGGCGGCUCACUGGCCCGGAACUGACGCUGAGACGCGAAAGCGUGGGGAGCAAACAGG